rnacentral:rRNA from 1 species
CGCGAAUGGCUCAUUAUAACAGCUAUAAUUUACUUGAUCUUGACACAAUCCUACUUGGAUAACUGUGGUAAUUCUAGAGCUAAUACAUGCAUUAAAGCUCUGACCUCACGGGAAGAGUGCAUUUAUUAGAACAAAACCAAGCGGCUUCGGCUGUUUCUGGUUGACUCAUAGUAACUGAGCUGAUCGCAUGGUCCUGCACCGGCGACGUGUCUUUCAAGUAUCUGCCGUAUCAACUUUCGAUGGUAGUGUAUCUGACUACCAUGGUGAUCACGCGUAACGGAGAAUAAGGGUUCGGCUCCGGAGGGUUCGCCUGAGAAAUCGCGAACACAUCUAAGGAAGGCAGCAGGCGCGAAAAUUACCCACUCUCAGCACGAGGAGGUAGUGACGAAAAAUAACGAGACCGUUCUCUUAUGAGGCCGGUCAUCGGAAUGGGUACAAUUUAAACCCUUUAACGAGUAUCUAUGAGAGGGCAAGUCUGGUGCCAGCAGCCGCGGUAAUUCCAGCU